UACAGAGGUCCCAAGCGUUGUUCGGAUUCACUGGGCGUAAAGGGUGCGUAGGCGGUCGGGUAAGUCUGACGUGAAAUCUUCAAGCUCAACUUGGAAACUGCGUCCGAUACUAUUCGGCUAGAGGAAUGGAGGGGAGACUGGAAUACUUGGUGUAGCAGUGAAAUGCGUAGAUAUCAAGUGGAACACCAGUGGCGAAGGCGAGUCUCUGGACAUCUCCUGACGCUGAGGCACGAAAGCCAGGGGAGCAAACGGG
rnacentral:rRNA from 1 species